GCUGAGGGCCGGAAGAGGAAACACCACGGAUGAAGAAGCCUUUUCAGGUGCCCCAGGGACUUGGUUUCUGUCCACCUGGAGAUGCACGGUCAUCUGCCUCCAGGAAUAACUAAUGGGAACGUGGAGCCAGAGGACACUUCUGAGGAGCAGGCUGGUCGUCUGCCCAGUACCCACUGUGUUGCCUGCUUCUGCAGGACACUGACCUGAGCCCUUUCCCUAGAAGCAGCACCACACAGAAAGACAGCACCAACCUCUCCCCCACAGGACUCUUCUGAGAGGUCCCUCUAGGCUCUAUCCAAGACCAGAGAUCAGGAUGUAGCUCUCAGCUGCCACUCCUGUGCCACGCCAUGCCAUGCCAUGCCUGCCUGGCGCUGUGCUCCCCGCCAUGUUCAUGGACUCACCCUCUGAAACUAUAACCAACCCUCCAAUUAAAUGCUUUCUUCUUUGAGUCACCUUUGUCACCGUGUCUCUUCACGGCAAUAAAACAGUAAUU